UCUGUUGCCUCCGGGGCGGACCCUGCUUCGGCGGGGUCCGGGUGGACACUUCAAACUCUUGCGUAACUUUGCAGCUGAGUAAACUUAAUUAAUAAAUUAAAACUUUUAACAACGGAUCUCUUGGUUCUGGCAUCGAUGAAGAACGCAGCGAAAUGCGAUAAGUAAUGUGAAUUGCAGAAUUCAGUGAAUCAUCGAAUCUUUGAACGCACAUUGCGCCCCCUGGUAUUCCGGGGGGCAUGCCUGUUCGAGCGUCAUUUCACCACUCAAGCCUCGCUUGGUAUUGGGCAACGCGGUCCGCCGCGUGCCUCAAAUCGACCGGCUGGGUCUUCUGUCCCCUAAGCGUUGUGGAAACUAUUCGCUAAAGGGUGUUCGGGAGGCUACGCCGUAAAACAACCCCAUUUUCUAAGGUUGACCUCGGAUCAAGUAGGGAUACCCGCUGAACUUAAGCAUAUCAAUAACGGAGGAAACAUUCCAUUGUGAUGCUCA
rnacentral:rRNA from 1 species